UUAAGUUCAGCGGGUAUCCCUACCUAAUCCGAGGUCAAUCAUUAUAAAAGUGGGGGGUGAUAGCGAGCGCUCCCAGGGCUCCAUAGCGACGUGUUUACUACGCUUAGAGCCUGACAGCACUGCCACUGAUUUUAAGGGCUGCCUUGACGGCAGGCCCCAACACCAAGCUAGGCUUGAGGGGUGAUAAUGACGCUCGAAUA
rnacentral:misc_RNA from 1 species